rnacentral:rRNA from 1 species
CAAGUCGAACGCACUCUCGUUAGAUUGAAGAAGCUUGCUUCUGAUUGAUAACAUUUGAGUGAGUGGCGGACGGGUGAGUAACACGUGGGUAACCUGCCCUAAAGUGGGGGAUAACAUUUGGAAACAGAUGCUAAUACCGCAUAAAACCUAGCACCGCAUGGUGCAAGGUUGAAAGAUGGUUUCGGCUAUCACUUUAGGAUGGACCCGCGGUGCAUUAGUUAGUUGGUGAGGUAAAGGCUCACCAAGACCGUGAUGCAUAGCCGACCUGAGAGGGUAAUCGGCCACACUGGGACUGAGACACGGCCCAGACUCCUACGGGAGGCAGCAGUAGGGAAUCUUCCACAAUGGACGAAAGUCUGAUGGAGCAACGCCGCGUGAGUGAAGAAGGUUUUCGGAUCGUAAAACUCUGUUGUUGGAGAAGAACGUAUUUGAUAGUAACUGAUCAGGUAGUGACGGUAUCCAACCAGAAAGCCACGGCUAACUACGUGCCAGCAGCCGCGGUAAUACGUAGGUGGCAAGCGUUGUCCGGAUUUAUUGGGCGUAAAGCGAGCGCAGGCGGUUUCUUAAGUCUGAUGUGAAAGCCUUCGGCUCAACCGAAGAAGUGCAUCGGAAACUGGGAAACUUGAGUGCAGAAGAGGACAGUGGAACUCCAUGUGUAGCGGUGAAAUGCGUAGAUAUAUGGAAGAACACCAGUGGCGAAGGCGGCUGUCUGGUCUGUAACUGACGCUGAGGCUCGAAAGCAUGGGUAGCAAACAGGAUUAGAUACCCUGGUAGUCCAUGCCGUAAACGAUGAGUGCUAGGUGUUGGAGGGUUUCCGCCCUUCAGUGCCGCAGCUAACGCAUUAAGCACUCCGCCUGGAGAGUACGACCGCAAGGUUGAAACUCAAAGGAAUUGACGGGCGCCCGCACAAGCGGUGGAGCAUGUGGUUUAAUUCAAAGCAACGCGAAGAACCUUACCAGGUCUUGACAUCCUUUGACCACUCUAGAGAUAGAGCUUUCCCUUCGGGGACAAAGUGACAGGUGGUGCAUGGUUGUCGUCAGCUCGUGUCGUG